rnacentral:rRNA from 1 species
CUUUCAACAACGGAUCUCUUGGUUCCAGCAUCGAUGAAGAACGCAGCGAAAUGCGAUAAGUAAUGUGAAUUGCANAAUUCAGUGAAUCAUCGAAUCUUUGAACGCACAUUGCGCCCCUUGGUAUUCCGAGGGG